GAAGAAAGCGGGGGGCGUGCUUAACACAUGCAAGUCGAACGGAAAGGCCCUGCUUUUGUGGGGUGCUCGAGUGGCGAACGGGUGAGUAACACGUGAGUAACCUGCCCUUGACUUUGGGAUAACUUCAGGAAACUGGGGCUAAUACCGGAUAGGAGCUCCUGCUGCAUGGUGGGGGUUGGAAAGUUUCGGCGGUUGGGGAUGGACUCGCGGCUUAUCAGCUUGUUGGUGGGGUAGUGGCUUACCAAGGCUUUGACGGGUAGCCGGCCUGAGAGGGUGACCGGCCACAUUGGGACUGAGAUACGGCCCAGACUCCUACGGGAGGCAGCAGUGGGGAAUAUUGCACAAUGGGCGGAAGCCUGAUGCAGCAACGCCGCGUGCGGGAUGACGGCCUUCGGGUUGUAAACCGCUUUCGCCUGUGACGAAGCGUGAGUGACGGUAAUGGGUAAAGAAGCACCGGCUAACUACGUG
rnacentral:rRNA from 1 species